GAAAUAUUUCGUCCGUUCCAAAAUUCUUGCCUUAGAUUUGUGUAAAUGUGAAUGUAUCUAGUCAUGUUUUGAUAUUUAGAUACAUUCAUUUCUAGACAAAUUUAAACAAGAAUUUUGGACGUAAGGAGUAUUUG
rnacentral:pre_miRNA from 1 species